GUCCCUGUAGCGCCAUGGAUAGCGCGUUGGAUUUCGAACCCAAAGGUCGUGGGUUCAAAUCCCGCCUGGGAUG
rnacentral:tRNA from 1 species